rnacentral:rRNA from 1 species
GACGAACGCUGGCGGCGUGCCUAAUACAUGCAAGUCGAACGCAGUGGGGACGGGUGAGUAACACGUCGGCAACCUCCCAAUAGCGGGUAUAACACUUGGAAACAGGUGCUAAACUGUUACCGAUGGAUGGAUCUGUGGUGUAUUAGCUAGUUGGUGAGGUAACGGCUCACCAAGGCCACGAUGCAUGGCCGACCUGGGGGGGUGACGGGCAAAACGGGGACGAGACAACGGCCCGAACUCCUACGGGGGGCGGCAGUGGGGAAUCUUCGGCAAUGAACGAAGUUCUAACCAGGCAAGGCGGCUUAGGUGAGGAAGGUUUUCGGAUCGUAAGACUUUGUGGUUGAGGAGGCGGUAUCUAACCAGAAAGCCACGGCUAACUACGUGCCAGCAGCCGCGGUAAUAC